GCUCAAGGCGACCGCUGGUGGGCGGGGCCGGAAUGAUGUCCGGUGUGGAUUGGGCGAGCGGAGGCAGGUGCUGCCGGGCCGAAGCCGAGGGUUUCUCUACGUCUUGCUAGGAAGACCAGGUUGGCGGUGCCAGUGAGGUUGUUGCCGACGGGUUCCGGUUUGGCUUCAGAGGAGCAUGCGCUCUAUGGAGACUUUCAUCCACUAAAUGUAAAAAAGGGGUAGGCGGAAAGAAACAACCAGCAGCACCUCCUGUCGCCAACUGGAUUAAUUACCUUACCCGGAGGCUGAGGACUAUGCUGAGCCAGCCAGUGCCCCCACAGGUGCUGGGACAACUGGCCCUGCUCCUCAUUGGGACCCUGCAGCUAGAGAGCUGGACCCAGCCCCCAACAGAGAAAUUUCCUGAGGGGCUCGUUUGGAGCAGGAGCACCUGACAAUGGUACCUGGUUUCUGCCACCUUAAAUAGAAGAGGCUCAAUGACCUACAGAGCGUCUAACCUGGUGCAGACAUCUGUGUCAUUGGAAAACUGUAAACACCAUUUCCCUAAAACCCUUCCUCAAGUAACUGAGAAAUAAAGCCCAAAUGUCUGCCAUACACGUCAGCCCUUUCGAUCGUGCCUGUGCUGACCUUGGUGAGGCCACAGACCCAUUUCACUCGACUGGCCGGGCUCUUGCUCCUGCUGUUGUUCUUCUGGCUGAGGAUGAAGACGACAAGAGUAUUAUGCACAGCAUCAAUACUGAACCUGGGUGUGGCAUUGCUGAUGCCAUCCAUCCUAAUAAUGAUGCCAAACACUUUUUCCUUCCUAUUGGUGAUGAUGACAAAGGUGAUAUAGCCCAGUUCCUCCUAGGGAAGCCGGGGAAAUGGAAAAAAAAAAGUUAAACUGUGGUAAUAGUUGAAAAUAGAUGAUUGUAGGCCAGGCUGUGGUGGUGCUCACCUUUAAUCCCAGUACUCGAGAGGCAGAGGCUGGUGGAUCUCUGUGAGUUCAAGGCCAGCCUGGUCUACAGAGCGAGUUCCAGGACAACCUCCAAAGCAAUUCAGAGAAACCCCGUCUCGAACCCCCCCCAAAAAUGACAAAGUCGGUUUAGCCCAACAAAACUGACCAAGUAGUAGUUAGUUGGUUUGUUGUUUCCUAUUCUGGCUGACAGAACUGUUUUCACGCUCAGCAGUAACCUUACGGUUUGUGAGUGGCUAAGCAUAUGCCAGGAACCCUGCCGUUCAGUGCCAGUCAGUGUCUGCUUUUUCUGUGUCCCCACCCUGUGACUUGUAACAAUAAAGUCAUACUGAAAACAAACACUCCAAGACAAGCAAGGUCUCAGAAGGAAACCAACCAAACUUCCACCUUCUCAAACACACAAAAAGUCUCAAGAGCCAGAAGUAAGGAAAUGUGGUAGAGAACACACCCAUGCACACUCAGGGCUUCCUUUCUGGGGAGCAAACAAUGACAGGGCAGGGUUACAAGAGUGCAGAACCAAAGUUUGAAGGUCUACACCAAACCCACUAAAACAUGCCAAGAGCUGACCAGAGAUGUCUGUGCCUUGUUUUGUCUGGGCUCCUGUGGCUCCCUGUCCAGACUAGCCCUGCUGUGAAAUCCUUCCAGAUCAGAACUCUGGAUAACGGUGGAUUUUCCAGUCCAUGGAGGAGGACAGCAUGUGUUUCCCUGACAUUCUCACACUCCCCUAGAAGUACGCCGCCUCUGAGCCUGUACCCUUCCCUCACUUUACCAGGGUGUGGAAGCGAAAGCGCCAAGCUCAUCAUUGCCCGGCUCCAUACAGGACUGUGAGGCACCCAUCUUCAGCAAAUUCCUUUGGCUACACUGCUAAGGGCUUUUAAAAUAUGUGAACAGUUAAAACAAAACCUCCAGCUGGGUGGUGGUGGCACACGCCUUUAAUCCCAGCACUCGGGAGGCAGAGGCAGGCGGAUCUCUGUGAGUUCGAGGCCGGGCUGGACCGACAGCCUCCAAAACAAUACAGAGAAACCCUGUCUCAUAAAACAAAAACAAACAAAACAAAACAAAAACAAAACCCUCCAGACAGUGUACUUGAAACACGCAUCUUAGUUUCUUUAUCUGUUGACAAAGCAACUUUAGAAAGAAUGGGUUUAGUUACAGUGGGAAUUCCCAGGAGCAAGAGCUUGAGGGGGAGGGGGUCUCCUAUUGAGUCCACACUCAAAAGGCAGAGAGCAAUGAGCACAUGCUUGCUUGGUUCUCUCUGUCUCUUUGUACAGUUGAUCUGGGUCAGGAAUGGUGCCACCCCUGGUGACUGGGGCUUCCCACUGUAGCACAACUAAGAUACCACCACCACCGCCACCAUCAUCACCACCACCCCCGACCCCUUGCCAGGCAUGCCCAGAAGUCCAGCUCCCAGGGAGGCUCCUUCGCUAAGGUUGACAACACUAUCACAGCAUGUGAAACUCAACCCUCACCUUCCUUAUGGUUUCUAAUAGGAUUUAUUGUAAUAUUGGGAGUGUUUGGAAAGAGCUGAGAGGGUCUCCUCUUUCCUUGAAAUGAUUGUGGUUUUGUUUCACUCUUAAGAUUUAUUUUGCCAGGUGUUUGGUACAUGCAGCACUCGGGAGGCAGAGGCAGGCGAAUCUCUGUGAGGUAGAGGCCAGCCUGAUCUACAGAUCGAGGUCCAGGACAGCCUCCAAAGCAACACAGAGAAACCCUGUCUUGAAGAGCAAAGGAAAAAAGAUUUAUUCUUAUGCAUAUGGGCAUUUUGCCUUCGUGUGUGUCUGCGGAACGUGUGUGCACCUGCCGAGGCCAGAAGAGGUCCCUGCUACUAGAGCUGAAGACAGUUGUGAGCUGCCACGUGGGUGCUGGAGAUUGAACCCUGGUCCUCCGGAAGAGCAGUCAGUGCUCUUUACCAUUAAACCGUCCAUCUAGCA